rnacentral:rRNA from 1 species
GGAAUCUUGCGCAAUGGGCGAAAGCCUGACGCAGCAACGCCGCGUGGGGGAUGAAGGCUCUCGGGUUGUAAACCCCUUUCAGGAGGGACGAAAAUGACGGUACCUCCAGACGAAGCCCCGGCCAACUACGUGCCAGCAGCCGCGGUAACACGGAGGGGGCGAGCGUUGUCCGGAUUUAUUGGGCGUAAAGAGCUCGUAGGCGGUUUGACAAGUCGGGUGUGAAAUUUCGAGGCUCAACCUCGAAACGCCACUCGAUACUGUCAUGACUGGAGUCCGGUAGAGGAGUGUGGAAUUCCUGGUGUAGCGGUGAAAUGCGCAGAUAUCAGGAGGAACACCAGCGGCGAAGGCAGCACUCUGGGCCGGUACUGACGCUGAGGAGCGAAAGCAUGGGGAGCAAA